rnacentral:rRNA from 1 species
CCUACGGGUGGCAGCAGUGGGGAAUAUUGCGCAAUGGGGGCAACCCUGAAGCAGCAACGCCGCGUGAUUGAAGACGGCCUUCGGGUUGUAAAGAUCUUUUUUUGGGGACGAAUUUUGACGGUACCCGAAGCAUAAGCUCCGGCUAACUACGUGCCAGCAGCCGCGGUCAUACGGAGGGAGCAAGCGUUAUCCGGAUUUCCUGGGUGUAAAGGGCGUGUAGGCGGGCAUGACGGCCAGAAGUGAAAUCUGGGGGUUUAACUCCCAAACUGCUGUUGAAACUGCGUUUCUUGAGUGAGGGAGAGGCAGGCGGAAUGCGCGGUGUAGCGGUGAAAUGCGUAGAUAUUGGGAAGAACACCGGUUGCGAAGGCAGCCUGCGGGACAUUAACUGACGCUGAAGCGCGAAAGCGUGGGGAGCAAACAGGAUUAGAUACCCCAGUAGUC